rnacentral:rRNA from 1 species
AACGAACGCUGGCGGCAUGCCUAACACAUGCAAGUCGAACGAGACCUUCGGGUCUAGUGGCGCACGGGUGCGUAACGCGUGGGAACCUGCCCUUAGGUUCGGAAUAACUCCCCGAAAGGGGUGCUAAUACCGCAUAAUGUCUUCGGACCAAAGAUUUAUCGCCUUUGGAUGGGCCCGCGUUGGAUUAGCUAGUUGGUAGGGUAAAAGCCUACCAAGGCGACGAUCCAUAGCUGGUCUGAGAGGAUGAUCAGCCACACUGGGACUGAGACACGGCCCAGACUCCUACGGAAGGCAGCAGUGGGGAAUAUUGGACAAGGGGCGAAAGCCUGAUCCAGCAAUGCCGCGUGAGUGAUGAAGGCCUUAGGGUUGUAAAGCUCUUUUACCCGGGAUGAUAAUGACAGUACCGGGAGAAUAAGCUCCGGCUAACUCCGUG